AUCUCUUACAAAGUGAAUAGAAAGCUAUAAUUAGAAUAGUUGGGAGCUAGAAACAAAAAGGCAAGUUUAGUACCUGAAUAGUUUCUUUUUUCAUAUUGGUGUAGCACUUGUGCGAGUUCAAACUCCUCUCACCCAAUACACAAGUCACCUGACCCACAAAAAUGAUAAUGUAUUACAAAUCAAAUAACAAUGCUAAAUUUUAUUUUCAUGCCAUAGCGCACAUUUUAAGCCAAACAUUAAUUAAACAACACGAUACAAAAACAAAUAAAAAUACCAAAAACCAACAAGU
rnacentral:misc_RNA from 1 species